CUGUAUGAUGAACAAACCUACCCAAGCAUAGUUCACCUGAAAUCUUCGGAUUGUUGAACGACAACCUUUAUCCAUCUUUCUUUUAUCUGAUA
rnacentral:snoRNA from 1 species